GCUGGGCAUGGUGGUGCAUGCCUGUAAUCUCAGUGACUCAGGAGGCUGAGGUAGGAAGAUUGCAAGUUCGAGGCCAGCCUCAU
rnacentral:sRNA from 1 species